rnacentral:piRNA from 1 species
UUCGAGCAUGAUCGGCCUUGACAGUGU